rnacentral:rRNA from 1 species
UACGAAGGUGGCAAGCGUUACUCGGAAUUACUAGGCGUAAAGGGCAGGUAGGUGGUUUUGUAAGUCUAUUGUGAAAGCUCCUGGCUUAACUGGGAGAGGUCAAUGGAUACUGCAGAACUUGAGUAUAGGAGAGGUUACUGGAAUUCCCGGUGUAGCGGUGAAAUGCGCAGAGAUCGGGAGGAACACCAAUGGCGAAAGCAGGUAACUGGACUAUUACUGACACUCAGCUGCGAAAGCUAGGGGAGCAAACAGG